UACGAAGGGGGGCUAGCGUUGUUCGGAAUUACUGGGCGUAAAGCGCACGUAGGCGGAUUGUUAAGUGAGGGGUGAAAUCCCAGGGCUCAACCCUGGAACUGCCUUUCAUACUGGCAAUCUCGAGUCCGAGAGAGGUGAGUGGAAUUCCGAGUGUAGAGGUGAAAUUCGUAGAUAUUCGGAGGAACACCAGUGGCGAAGGCGGCUCACUGGGCUCGGUACUGACGCUGGAGGUGCGAAAGCGUGGGGAGCAAACAGG
rnacentral:rRNA from 1 species